GGGCACGGGGGGAACCUCGACAGUCAGGCAACGAGCGAGACCCCUGCGUCUAGUUGCUACCAUUACUCUCUGGAGCAGUGGAGCGAAUUAGACGGACCGCCACAGUUAAUGUGGAGGAAGGAAGGGGCCACGGCAGGUCAGUAUGCCCCGAAACCCUAGGGCUACACGCGGGCUGCAAUGGUAUUGACAAUGUGUUCCGAAUCCGAAAGGAGGAGGCAAUCAUCAAACAAUAUCUCAGUUACGACUGAGGGCUGUAACUCGCCCUCACGAAUAUGGAAUCCCUAGUAACCGCGCGUCACUACCGCGCGGUGAACACGUCCCUGCUCCUUGCACGAAUUCGCCG
rnacentral:rRNA from 1 species